UGGGGAAUAUUGGACAAUGGGCGAAAGCCUGAUCCAGCCAUGCCGCGUGAGUGAUGAAGGCCCUAGGGUUGUAAAGCUCUUUCACCGGUGAAGAUAAUGACGGUAGCCGGAGAAGAAGCCCCGGCUAACUUCGUGCCAGCAGCCGCGGUAAUACGAAGGGGGCUAGCGUUGUUCGGAAUUACUGGGCGUAAAGCGCACGUAGGCGGAUUGUUAAGUCGGGGGUGAAAUCCCGGGGCUCAACCCCGGAACUGCCUUCGAUACUGGCAAUCUAGCGUCCGGAAGAGGUGAGUGGAAUUCCGAGUGUAGAGGUGAAAUUCGUAGAUAUUCGGCGGAACACCAGUGGCGAAGGCCGCUCACUGGUCCGGUACUGACGCUGAGGUGC
rnacentral:rRNA from 1 species